rnacentral:misc_RNA from 1 species
AAAGUCGUAACAAGGUUUCCGUAGGUGAACCUGCGGAAGGAUCAUUACAAAUCCACCUUACGGUCUUCCAGACCACGUUGAACUUGUUCCACAGAGAGUGAGAGCGAGUGUGGGUGGAUGGUAAUAGUGGUGUUGGAUGGCUUGUCCAUCCACCCCAUCAUUCAUCCCUCUCCUCUCUUCUCUCUGUGUAUCUCCUACACUUUACUCUUGUUGCUCAAUUGUAUGGCAUGUGCGCGAGUGAAUGGGGUGAGAUGUGUUGAAAAUGCGCGAAUGGCAUCGUCAUUCGUCGUCAUUCAUCAUCCUCCUCUCUCAAUCUCUCUCAACCAUAUCCAUAUCAAUGUCAAACACAAAGAGACACAGUCACAACUUAUAACAAUGGAUCUCUAGGCUCUU